rnacentral:rRNA from 1 species
AAUGAACGCUGGCGGCAGGCCUAAAACAUUCAAGUCGAACGGUAACAGGACUUCGGAUGCUGACGAGUGGCGCACUGGUGAGUAACACGUUGGAAUAUGCCUCUUGGUACGGUACAACAGUUGGAAACGACUGCUAAUACCGUAUGGUCCCUUCGGGGUCAAGAUUUAUCGCCAAAAUAUUAGCCCGCGCUGGAUUAGCUAGUUGGUAGGGUAAUGGCCUACCAAUCCUACGCUCUAUAGCUGGUCUGAGAGGAUGAUCAGCCACACUGGAACUGAUACACGGUCCAGACUCCUACGGGAGGCAGCAGUUAGGAAUAUUGGACAAUGGGCGCAAGCCUGAUCCAGCCAUGCCGCGUGAGUGAUGAAGGCCUUCGGGUUGUAAAGCUCUUUAGCCGUCGAAUAUAAUGGCUGUAGUCGGACAAUAAGCCCCGGCUAACUUCGCGCCAGACGCCGCAGUAA